rnacentral:misc_RNA from 1 species
GCGAUCAAUAUCUUCGUCUUCUCCUCGACUUUGUUGUGCGUCUCCAAAAUCUCAUCAUCAACUUUAACCGCUUGAGUCAAAUUAACGGCUUUCAAAACCUCAAAUAACACAGCAGCAGUUUGGUAAGCUUUGGUAAGUCGGGCACGGUCAGCUUUGUCGGCGGCAGCAUUCUGAAGCGCCUGAAUAUAAGUUUUGUAGUACUGCUGAUAGAAACUCUGCAUUUCUCGCCCAUCGCUCUGCUUCACCCUUCCCAUCAACGUCGGAUCAUUCUCCCUUUCCAGCCGUUGCAGUAGAGCGGUCUUGAACUGCCGAACACCUCGGCCACUCGAAGUAGGAUCCAACCUACGUGCCUUCUCAAAAG